AUGAGCUUGGAAGUGGAUUCUGUGCCCAUUAGAAGACUACAGCCUGGUCAACAGCUUGACUGUAACCUCCUGAGAGACCCAGAGCCAGAACCACCCAGCUGCUCCUACAUAUCUGACCCUUACUGUCCAGUAUUUGAUGGCCUGUUCGAGUUCUGUCAGUUAUCUACUGGUGGCUCUGUGGCAAGUGUCAGGAAACUUAAUAAGCAACAGACGGACAUCACUGUGAAUUGGGCUGGGAGCCUGCACCAUGCAAAGAAGUCUGAGGCAUCUGGCUUCUGUUAUGUCAACGAUAUCAUCUUGGCCAUUCUGGAAUUGCUAAAGUAUCACCAGAGGGUGCUGUAUAUUGACAUUGAUAUUCACCAUGGUGAUGGCAUGGAAGAGGCCUUCUACACCACAGACUGCAUCAUGACUGUGUCCUUUCAUAAAUAUGGAGAGUACUUCCCAAGAACUGGUGACUUACAGGAUAUUGGGGCUGGAAAAGCAAGUAUUAUGCUGUUAACUACCCACUCCGAGAUGGCAUCGAUGAUGAGUCCUAUGAGGCCAUCUUCAAGCCGGUCAUGUCCAAAGUAAUGGAGAUGUUCCAGCCUAGUGCAAUGGUCUUACAGUGUGGCUCAGACUCCCUGUCUGGAGAUCAGUUAGGUUGCUUCAAUCUGACCAUCAAAGGGCAUGCCAAGUGUGUGGAAUUUGUCAAGAGCUUCAACCUGCCCAUGCUGAUGCUAGGAGGAGGUGGUUACACCAUUCAAAAUGUUGCCCGGUGCUGGACAUAUGAAACAGCAGUGACCCUGGACACAGAGAUCCCAAAUGAGCUGCCAUACAAUGACUAUUUCGAAUACUUUGGACCAGACGUCAAGCUUCACAUCAAUCCUUCUAAUAUGACUAACCAGUACUCUAAUGAGUAACCUGGAAAAGAUCUUUGAGAACCUGAGAAUGCUACCCCAUGCACCUGGGGUCCAAAUGCAAGCAAUUCCUGCGGACGCCAUCCCAGAGGAGAGUGGUGAUGAGGAUGAAGACCCAGACAAGCGCAUCUCAAUCUGCUCCUCUGACAAACGAAUUGCCUGUGAGGAAGAAUUCUCCAAGGAGGGAGAGGGUGGCUGCAAGAACUCUUCCAAUUCCAAAAAAGCCAAGAGAGUCAAAACAGAGGAUGAAAAAGAGAAAGACCCAGAAGAGAAGAAAGAAGUUACAGAAGAGGAGAAAACCAAGGAGGAGAAGCCAGAAGCCAAAGGGGUCAAAGAAGAGGUCAAGUUAGCCUGAGCAGACCGCUCCA